rnacentral:tRNA from 1 species
GCUGUGAUGGCCAGGUGGUUAAGGCAUUAUCUCGACUCGAAAUCAAAUGGGCUGGGCCUGCGCAAGUUCGAAUCGUGCUCUCAGCG